UCUCAACAUAGCGGAGGAAAAGAAACUAACAAGGAUUCCCCUAGUAACUGCGAGUGAAGCGGGAGAAGCUCAAAUUUGAAAUCUGGCAGUAUUCUAUUUGCUGUCCGAGUUGUAAUCUAGAGAAGUGUUACCCGUGCUGGACCGUGUACAAGUCUCCUGGAAUGGGGCAUCAUAGAGGGUGAGAAUCCCGUCUUUGACAUGGACUACCUGUACGCUGUGGUGCGCUCUCAAAGAGUCGAGUUGUUUGGGAAUGCAGCUCAAAACGGGUGGUAAAUGCCAUCUAAAGCUAAAUAUUGGCGAGAGACCGAUAGCGAACAAGUACCGUGAGGGAAAGAUGAAAAGAACUUUGGAAAGAGAGUUAAACAGUACGUGAAAUUGCUGAAAGGGAAACGCUUGAAGUCAGUCGCGUUGGCUAGAAAUCAGCCCUUGCUUUUGCUUGGUGUACUUUCUGGUUUUUCAACGGGUCAGCAUCAAUUUUGACCAUUGGAUAAAGUCUUUGGGAAUGUGGCAUCUUUUUGGAUGUGUUAUAGCCCAUUGUCGCAUGCAGUGGUUGGGAUUGAGGAACUCAGCACGCCUGCAAAGGCCGGGUUUCGACCACGCUUUCCGUGCUUAGGAUGCUGGCAUAAUGGCUUUAAUCGACCCGUCUUGAAACACGGACCAAGGAGUCUAACAUGCCUGCGAGUGUUUGGGUGGAAAACCCAUGCGCGAAAUGAAAGUGAAAGUUGAGAUCCCUCUCAGGGGGGAGCAUUGACGCCCGGACCAGACCUUUUGUGACGGAUCCGCGGUAGAGCAUGUAUGUUGGGACCCGAAAGAUGGUGAACUAUGCCUGAAUAGGGUGAAGCCAGAGGAAACUCUGGUGGAGGCUCGUAGCGAUUCUGACGUGCAAAUCGAUCGUCAAAUUUGGGUAUAGGGGCGAAAGACUAAUCGAACCAUCUAGUAGCUGGUUCUGCGCU
rnacentral:rRNA from 1 species